rnacentral:rRNA from 1 species
GGAGGGGGCUAGCGUUACUCGGAAUUAUUGGGCGUAAAGGGCGCGUAGGCGGUCGUGUGCGUCAGAGGUGAAAUCCCCGGGCUUAACCCGGGAGCUGCCUCUGAUACGGCAUGGCUUGAGUCCGGGAGAGGAGAGCAGAAUUCCCAGUGUAGCGGUGAAAUGCGUAGAUAUUGGGAGGAAUACCGGUGGCGAAGGCGGCUCUCUGGACCGGUACUGACGCUGAUGCGCGAAAGCGUGGGUAGCAAACAGGAUUAGAUACCCUGGUAGUCCACGCCGUAAACGAUGGGUGCUUGGUGUCGGGGGUAUCGACCCCUCCGGUGCCGAAGCUAACGCAUUAAGCACCCCGCCUGGGGAGUACGGUCGCAAGGCUG